CUCAGAUUAAACGCUGGCGGCAGGCCUAACACAUGCAAGUCGAGCGGUAGCACAAGAGAGCUUGCUCUCUGGGUGACGAGCGGCGGACGGGUGAGUAAUGUUUGGGAAACUGCCUGAUGGUGGGGGAUAACUAGUGGAAACGGUAGCUAAUACCGCAUAAUGUCGCAAGACCAAAGUGGGGGACCUUCGGGCCUCACGCCAUCAGAUGUGCCCAGAUGGGAUUAGCUGUUAGGUGGGGUAAUGGCUCACCUAGGCGACGAUCCCUAGCUGGUCUGAGAGGAUGACCAGCCACACUGGAACUGAGACACGGUCCAGACUCCUACGGGAGGCAGCAGUGGGGAAUAUUGCACAAUGGGCGCAAGCCUGAUGCAGCCAUGCCGCGUGUGUGAAGAAGGCCUUCGGGUUGUAAAGCACUUUCAGCGAGGAGGAAGGGUAAUGUGUU
rnacentral:rRNA from 1 species